rnacentral:tRNA from 1 species
GGUGUGGCACAGAGGUAGAGCGUAAGCUUAUGUUUUCGCGGAAUGGGUUCGAAUCCCAUAUG